rnacentral:rRNA from 1 species
UACGCAGGGGGCAAGCGUUGUCCGGAUUUAUUGGGCGUAAAGAGCGUGUAGGCGGUUAUGCAGGUCCGCUGUGAAAACUGGAGGCUUAACCUCCAGACGUCGGUGGAAACCGUAUGACUAGAGUCCGGAAGAGGAGAGUGGAAUUCCUGGUGUAGCGGUGAAAUGCGCAGAUAUCAGGAAGAACACCCGUGGCGAAGGCGGCUCUCUGGGACGGUACUGACGCUGAGACGCGAAAGCGUGGGGAGCGAACAGG